GACGAACGCUGGCGGCGUGCUUAACACAUGCAAGUCGAACGGUGAAGCGCCUUCCUUUUUGGUUGGUGUGGAUGAGUGGCGAACGGGUGAGUAACACGUGAGUAACCUGCCCCCUUCUUCUGGAUAACCGCAUGAAAGUGUGGCUAAUACGGGAUAUUCUGGGUCUGUCGCAUGAUGGGUCUGGGAAAGAUAUUGUUUCGGUGGGGGAUGGGCUCGCGGCCUAUCAGCUUGUUGGUGGGGUGAUGGCCUACCAAGGCGGUGACGGGUAGCCGGCCUGAGAGGGUGGACGGUCACACUGGGACUGAGACACGGCCCAGACUCCUACGGGAGGCAGCAGUGGGGAAUAGUGCACAAUGGGCGCAAGCCUGAUGCAGCGACGCCGCGUGAGGGAUGGAGGCCUUCGGGUUGUGAACCUCUUUCGCCAGUGAAGCAGGCCUGCCUCGUUUGUGGGUGGGUUGACAGUAGCUGGAUAAGAAGCGCCGGCUAACUACGUG
rnacentral:rRNA from 1 species